ensembl:lncRNA MUC20-OT1 MUC20 overlapping transcript
UUACCUUUCUAUCAUCUUGCAGUAUGGAUGUCUCUUGACUGGUACCGUGUAGACUUUUGAGGGCACACAGGAGUCUGCAGAGAGAUACUGGGGACAUUGAGCAGCAGCAGUGGGGUUGGGAGGCAGAAAUGAGGACAGGAACAUUUACCUUGUGUUUCUCUCAGCUUCUCAGAUGACCAAGAUGGUGCUGCAGAUGGUGCUGAGGAUGGAGAACCCACCAAGCCCCGCUAGGAGCCACCUAGACUGGAUGCAGAGCAUGGUGAAAAUGGAGGUUUCCUCCUCCUGCGGCUGAGUGUGGCUUCCCCGGAAGACCUCACUGACCCCAGAGUGGCAGAAAGGCUGAUGCAGCAGCUCCACCGGGAACUCCACGCCCACGCGCCUCACUUCCAGGUCUCCUUACUGCGUGUCAGGAGAGGCUAACGGACAUCAGCUGCAGCCAGGCAUGUCCCGUAUGCCAAAAGAGGGUGCUGCCCCUAGCCUGGGCCCCCACCGACAGACUGCAGCUGCGUUACUGUGCUGAGAGGUACCCAGAAGGUUCCCAUGAAGGGCAGCAUGUCCAAGCCCCUAACCCCAGAUGUGGCAACAGGACCCUCGCUCACAUCCACCGGAGUGUAUGUAUGGGGAGGGGCUUCACCUGUUCCCAGAGGUGUCCUUGGACUCACCUUGGCACAUGUUCUGUGUUUCAGUAAAGAGAGACCUGAUCACCCA